AGCGAACGCUGGCGGCAGGCCUAACACAUGCAAGUCGAACGAAUCUUUCGGGGUUAGUGGCGGACGGGUGAGUAACACGUGGGAACGUGCCUUUAGGUUCGGAAUAACUCAGGGAAACUUGUGCUAAUACCGAAUGUGCCCUUCGGGGGAAAGAUUAAUCGCCUUUAGAGCGGCCCGCGUCUGAUUAGCUAGUUGGUUGAGGUAAUGGCUCACCAAGGCGACGAUCAGUAGCUGGUCUGAGAGGAUGAUCAGCCACAUUGGGACUGAGACACGGCCCAAACUCCUACGGGAGGCAGCAGUGGGGAAUCUUGCGCAAUGGGCGAAAGCCUGACGCAGCCAUGCCGCGUGAAUGAUGAAGGUCUUAGGAUUGUAAAAUUCUUUCACCGGGGACGAUAAUGACGGUACCCGGAGAAGAAGCCCCGGCUAACUUCGUG
rnacentral:rRNA from 1 species